rnacentral:rRNA from 1 species
GGGGCCUACGGGAGGCAGCAGUAGGGAAUCUUCCGCAAUGGACGAAAGUCUGACGGAGCAACGCCGCGUGAGUGAUGAAGGCUUUCGGGUCGUAAAACUCUGUUGUUAGGGAAGAACAAGUGCUAGUUGAAUAAGCUGGCACCUGACGGUACCUAACCAGAAAGCCACGGCUAACUACGUGCCAGCAGCCGCGGUAAUACGUAGGUGGCAAGCGUUAUCCGGAAUUAUUGGGCGUAAAGCGCGCGCAGGUGGUUUCUUAAGUCUG